rnacentral:rRNA from 1 species
GAUGAACGCUGGCGGCGUGCCUAAUACAUGCAAGUCGAGCGAGCGGACGAGAAGCUUGUUUCUCUGAUGUUAGCGGCGGAUGGGUGCGUAACACGUGGAUAACCUACCUAUAAGAAUGGGAUAACUUCGAGACACCGGGGCUAGUACCGGAUAAUAUUAUCAACCGCAUGGUUCAAAAGUGAAAGACGGUCUUGCUGUCACUUAUAGAUGUAUCCGCGCUGCAUUAGCUAGUGGGUAAGGUAACGGCUAACCAAGACAACGGUGCAUAGCCGACCUGAGAGAGGGAUCGGCCACACUGGAACUGAGGGACGAGCCAGACUAGGACGGGAGGCAGCAGUAGGGAAUCAUCCGAGAUGGGAGAAAGCAUGACGGAGCAAUGCGGGGUGGGUUAUGAAGGUCUUCGGACGGGAAGACUCUGUUAUUAGGGGAGAACAUAUGUGUAAGUAAGAGAGCACGUCUUGACGGUACCUAGUCAGAAAGCCACGGCUAACUACGUG